UGUGCUAGGCUCCAGUGCUUGAGAUUGUGACUGAUGUAGACUUUGCAGCUGCACAUUUAGUCCACCAGAUGGCAGGUUUAAGCUUACAAAUCAAAUAGUUACAAUUAACAAAAGGCUUGACCUCAAUGGGUGGCUGAACUGGUAGAAACACUUUUAGAUGUUAUGUUUAGUCAUGGGAACUUGUGCCCAAGUCAUGGAAAAGUCAUGGACAUUUGUUGGUUAAAAUGUCUUUGAACUCUGAUUGGUUGCGUUUCUGUGAAAAGUGGCACAUUUAAAAAGAUGCAUUUCUGCAUGUUGCUGUCUUUCUUUAGCCUCCUAGUUUCAUAAUCAAAAAGCAAGUUCACAGUAAGUAGUUUGGUAUUUUGGGCAGGUCUUUGAUGUGCAGAUUUAAUGUAGUGGUGCGCUGCUUUCUUCAUCUACACCUUUCUUCAUCCACACCUACUGGUGCUAUCACAAUAACUGAUGUACACUUCUAUCUGUGUUGUUUUCAGGUGCAACCAGAGGAAUAAUGUGAUUGAGAGGAAGAGUGGCCCCAUACAUUGCUUGACCUGGAGCCUACCAAAGUCUAAGGUCUCAGGUGUCUCCAGAAGAACACAUCCCAAUGAAGACCCCAGUCAUAGUCAUCAACUUGACAGCUCAGCCUGUUACUUGAACUGUGUUCUUAGAGCCAAGUGUAACUGAGGUGUUUCCACACAGUCUGUCCCCCUUGGAUCUUGAACUUGCCACCACCUAGUCAACGCAUCGGUUCGGGUAUGGGAGGCACAGCACGAUACCGCUGAGCUAAAUGACCAGUCCCAUAGCUCAGCGCUGCUGGUACUGUAUGAGGCUUCGGGAGGGAGGUUUACUAUCCUUCCACGCCACACUCUGCUAGUUGGCCUCCGUUACACAAGCUCGAAUAAUCCAAGCAGUCAAUCCAACUUCUUCAGCACUGCCUUUGAACACUAUGAAGAACCACUCAGAACCACUGGUCCUAGAACUAAAUGACCACAUUAUACUGUUAAAGGUCCACUGUGUAGGAUGGUGAUCAGAGCAGGUAUUGCACCUGUGCUGCUCAUUGCAACUGUGCUACCUAUUGUCCAUUUUGACAUUUGAAUUUUCAAGAAUUUUACCAAGUAUUUACUAGUAUGUACCAAUAUUUACUAGUAUGACCAAAAUACAGUACAUUAUGCAACUAAAUUCAAGAUGGUGGACAAUGGACUCCUUUCAUGUUUUCAUGAAAAGUGUAAUUUUCCCAGUCAUAAUGAAUACUCAGAAUUUGAUGGUGGUAAGUAUUCUGAAAAAGGUUACAUUUGUGAAUGGCCUGAAUGAAUUCUGGAAAGAAACUGCUUAAAAAUAUUACACAGCGUACCUUUUAACAUUUCAUCUGUAGUAACAGAAUGUAGCGUUUCUCAGCUGCGACUCAAACCUAGACCCUCUUUCGUGGUGGUUGUUGUAAUGACACACUAAAAGCGAUAAUAUUUGCAUGAAGCUGCUCAGAAAGUGUCACUGGAUAUAUACCUUGAUAAAAGCAACAGAAUCUUCAAAGAAGAACAGAUACAAAAUGGGAUGCAUGCAUCAUGACAUUCCAACUGGUUGCAGUGAUAUUCAUGGAAAUGUCUAAUGCCUUUUCACCAUUAACUUAAACUUCUUUUAUGUUCUGUUCUUGUCUCUUUGUUAUGAUUGAAUUAGGAGUUUUAAUUUACACAAAAGCUGACACAUGUCCCACCUUUCUGUUAAGACUUGGUCCUAAGUGUUCUGAUUUGUUUGCUGUUUUAUACCUUGUGAAUAUUGAUGAUUUUUUAAUGAUUUUUUAAUAAACUGUUUUGAUCAUUA